rnacentral:rRNA from 1 species
CCUACGGGAGGCAGCAGUGAGGAAUAUUGGUCAAUGGGCGCGAGCCUGAACCAGCCAAGUAGCGUGAAGGAUGACUGCCCUACGGGUUGUAAACUUCUUUUAUAAAGGAAUAAAGUGAGGCACGUGUGCCAUUUUGUAUGUACUUUAUGAAUAAGGAACGGCUAACUCCGUGCCAGCAGCCGCGGUAAUACGGAGGAUCUGAGCGUUAUCCGGAUUUAGUGGGCUUAAAGGGAGCGUAGAUGGGUUGUUAAGUCAGUUGUGAAAGUUUGCGGUUCAACCGUAAAAUUGCAAUUGAUACUGGCAGUCUUGAGUACAGUUGAGGUAGGCGGAAUUCGUGGUGUAGCGGUGAAAUGCUUAGAUAUCACGAAGAACUCCGAUUGCGAAGGCAGCUUACUAAACUGCAACUGACAUUGAUGCUCGAAAGUGUGGGGAUCAAACAGGAUUAGAUACCCCAGUAGUC